GAUGAACGCUGGCGGCGUGCUUAACACAUGCAAGUCGAACGAUGAAGCCCAGCUUGCUGGGUGGAUUAGUGGCGAACGGGUGAGUAACACGUGAGUAACCUGCCCUUGACUCUGGGAUAAGCCCGGGAAACUGGGUCUAAUACCGGAUAGGAGCGCCUGUCGCAUGACGGGUGCUGGAAAGAUUUUUCGGUCAUGGAUGGACUCGCGGCCUAUCAGCUUGUUGGUGAGGUAAUGGCUCACCAAGGCGACGACGGGUAGCCGGCCUGAGAGGGUGACCGGCCACACUGGGACUGAGACACGGCCCAGACUCCUACGGGAGGCAG
rnacentral:rRNA from 1 species